rnacentral:rRNA from 1 species
CCUACGGGCGGCUGCAGUGGGGAAUUUUGGGCAAUGGGCGAAAGCCUGACCCAGCAACGCCGCGUGAAGGAUGAAGUAUUUCGGUAUGUAAACUUCGAAAGAAUAGGAAGAAUUAAUGACGGUACUAUUUAUAAGGUCCGGCUAACUACGUGCCAGCAGCCGCGGUAAUACGUAGGGACCAAGCGUUGUUCGGAUUUACUGGGCGUAAAGGGCGCGUAGGCGGUGCGGUAAGUCACUUGUGAAAUCUCUGAGCUUAACUCAGAACGGCCAAGUGAUACUGCAGUACUAGAGUGCAGAAGGGGCAAUCAGAAUUCUUGGUGUAGCGGUGAAAUGCGUAGAUAUCAAGAGGAAUACCUGAGGUGAAGACGGGUUGCUAGGCUGACACUGACGCUGAGGCGCGAAAGCUAGGGGAGCAAACGGGAUUAGAUACCCCGGUAGUC